UACGUAGGUGGCAAGCGUUGUCCGGAUUUACUGGGCGUAAAGAGCGCGCAGGCGGUCGUUCAAGUCGCGUGUGAAAGCCCCUGGCUCAACUGGGGGAGGUCAUGCGAGACUGUGCGACUUGAGGGCAAGAGAGGCACGUGGAACUCCCGGUGUAGCGGUGGAAUGCGUAGAGAUCGGGAAGAACACCAGUGGCGAAGGCGGCAUCCUGGACCGGUAUUGACGCUGAGGCGCGAAAGCUAGGGGAGCAAACGGG
rnacentral:rRNA from 1 species